rnacentral:tRNA from 1 species
UGUCAAAUUAGCAAAAAUAUGCAACUGACUUAGGAUCAGUAGAUAUAGGUGAAAAUCCUUUAUUUGAUAA